AGGCAAUUUGAUGAGCUUUCAUUCAAGAGGUCCCUCGUUGCUGAACGAAAAAUAGGGCCGGAGCUAUGAACCGGAACGUUUACAUUACCGCCUAAGGAAAAUGCAUCAGUGGACCGGAACGUUUACAUUACCGCCUAUGGAAAAUGCAUCAGUGGACUAUACUCAGGCGUUUCAUGUGGAUACGAAGGUAGCGAGCAUUGCAGGAAAAAUACACGGCUAGCGUUAGAAAGCGUUUAAUGGGGUUUACCAUCAGAAAAAUCUGGUAAUUGAAGUGGUGAAAUGACGGGCGGCUGCCAAAAGGGUGCCCCUUUGGCUGGACAACUCAUACAGUUUUCAAGAUAUAAAGGUUUUUUGUUUUGCAGAUCAAUUGUAUAUAUAAUCGAGAUAUGCAUUAUUGCAAGGAUUUUAACUUUUGUAAAUUUUUGCAAAAAGUACCCACUUUUGAACUCGUCAUUUGCUUAUAAGGUACAUCUUUUGUGCAAAUAACUCCUCCCAACAGUUUUGAAGAUAGGGAUAUCUUAAUUUUGCAGAUUAAUUGUACAAUCUCAACCCCCAUAAACUUGAAAUGAUGACCAAAUAUCUUAAAAACAAAUGGGAUCUCCACCCCUAAACAAUAAAUAUUCUUGUUCAUUGUGUAGGUCAUUACCUUAAGUUAGAGGGUGGUUAUGAAGAUAAACAUUUACAAUUUUCUUCAAUACAGAAUGUUGAUACAGGAAAAACAUUCAAUAUUUUCAUAUUAUAUAUUAUAUAUAGCAACAAGAGUAAAAUGGUCAAACAAAAGGAAAAGGAAGUAAGGGAAUAUUUUUCAGACUGUUGCACAUCAAAUACACUCCCAUGAAUGAAAAUGUGCCCAAGACUUACAGAAUGUAACUAAAAGUGCGGAAGAAUAUUGUGGAAAAGGAUAUGGGAGACCAUAAAGAAAAUAUAUUGAAUGACCUUAAAAGAGUUAAAAAGUAAUAAAUUUGCUAAGAUUUGCACUUUUGAUUGAGUUAUGUCUUAGUGUACAGGAAUUGUUAAUAAUAUAUGUGUGUGCUCAUAGAAAAGAACAUCAUGCAUAUGCAUUGUAAUACCAGUAAAUAUCGUAUUGAAAUUGUUGAUCAUGUUAAGAUUUUCAAAGUUUAUGAUGAGUUACAGUGUGUCUAAUUCCACACAUACAAAAUUCUCUGUCACUGUUUUAAGGGGAAAAAAAACCAAAUUGUACCAGUAUGAACAUUUUUUGAAUAUUUUUGGAUGUGUAUUUUUUAUGAGUCAGCCAAUGACUGUUGAAUAUUUAAACUUUCUCUGCAUUUUUGUAUGCAAGCUGAAUAUUAUGCCAGUUUAAAGGUCUAUGGAAUGGUCUGUUUGAUCUUCUUAACCAUACAUGUAAGAUGUCUGACAAUCUUUCUGUAAGAUUUGAUAAAUUCGUGUACAUGCAUAUGCAUUUGUAUAUAUUUCAUAUUUGAUGAUAAUUGUUGAAAUUGUUGAUAAAGUUGAGAUUUUCAAAGUUUAUGAUAGUUAUACAUGUAAAUUGAUCGAUUUUGAGUUUAUGAUCAUAAAUUGUUGUUUAAAGUU
rnacentral:sRNA from 1 species